UUCAAGAGAUUUCCUAAAGUGCCUGUUGGUGUUUGAUUGAACAGUCUUCUCGUAUUGCUCACCACAUCUUACCAUGUUGAGACUGUUUGUGUUGCUUACAGCAGUGGUCUGCUGUAAUGCCUGCAGAUUUGAAAAGCUAGACAGAGAUACCACUGACAGUCCACAAUCAGGUUGUCCUGACUCUGAUGGAAAUCUCCAUGAACUUUUCUCUGAAUGGAUGCGUGAAUUUGAAACAUGUGUCUGUUUGGAUUUUGGAAUCAUCUGUUGUGAAAGUUUUUUGGAGGGCACUCUCCCACCUGAACCCACCCCUGAAAUCAUUGUCGAUUACUUUGGAGCUUUCACUGAGAAUGACGUCGUAGAGCCUGAAGAACUGUUCAUCAAUGAUGGAGAGCCUACUGCUCCUGAAGUUCCCAAUCAGCCAGAUUCCUCAGACUCACCUGAAGUCAUUGCUGAUGACUCUCAUGAGUCAGCUGAGGACAGUAAAUAAUCCAAACAUCCUGAACAGCAAAAAUACUCUUGCAUUUUUUCACCCUGAUGAAUGAGCCGAUGUAUAAAGGCUAAGUAAAAUAAAAUAAACAUACCUGAGCAUGCA